GUGGAGUUGUGGCUCAGUGGUAGAGUGUUUGCCUAGCAUGCAUGAGGAACUAGGUUGGACCCCCAGCAUCACA
rnacentral:tRNA from 1 species